AAAAUGCGAUAAGUAAUGUGAAUUGCAGAAUUCAGUGAAUCAUCGAAUCUUUGAACGCACAUUGCGCCCGCCAGUAUUCUGGCGGGCAUGCCUGUUCGAGCGUCAUUUCAACCCUCAAGCCCCCGGGUUUGGUGUUGGGGAUCGGGCUGCGGUUCUACCGCGUCCCGGCCCCGAAAUCUAGUGGCGGUCUCGCUGCAGCCUCCAUUGCGUAGUAGCUAACACCUCGCAACUGGAACGCGGCGCGGCCAAGCCGUUAAACCCCCAACUUUUGAAUGUUGACCUCGGAUCAGGUAGGAAUACCCGCUGAACUUAAGC
rnacentral:misc_RNA from 1 species